UUAAAAGUACAACUUAAACUUUUAAAUUUCAUUUUAAGGCAAAAUUUUGGGGAACAACCAGGAAUUCUGGUUUUACCUUAUAGAUAGAGAUGUAAUUAGCCAUUUCACCUAAAAUCCUAGCUCUUCUGUACGAUAACUUAACUGUUUUCAUUUGACCUCUACUUCCUGUUUAUGGGGAAACCACUACUGAUAGGUGCUAUGAGAAAAACUGGGGAAGGGGUUUCUGGAUCCCAAAAUAAGUAUAAGAAAUCUUACAGUAUUAGCAUAAGAAUCAUACUUAUUAAUUAUUAGUUUUUAUAAUCCUGAAGUUUCAUUUUGAUUGCAGUUUGAAAGAGCUGCUAAAAAGAAGUGGCUAUACAUUGGAGGAGAGAGCAAACAUACAUAGAGACCUUGAAGGUGAAUCUUCUAAGGCAGGGAAGAAGCAGAGACUUGUAUCCAUUGAAUCAAAAUACAAGAACAUAAUAUGUCCAAGGAUGACCAGUUCUCUGGUGGUUACUGCUACUGAUCCAUCCAAACUGCUGGACUUCUCCUUCAUUCCCAAGGUCUUCAGGCAGUAUCUAAUGGGAAGUCAGCUCUAAAAGGAACCAGACCAUCAUUUCCUGGCCCUUUUAUUCUGUAACUACCUCUAUGUGAGGAAAGGAUAGAAAACAUUCAAGACAUCAUCAUACGGGCUUACGAUCUACAGAUUCCAACCAGUAGCAGUGGCUGGCUCCUUCACAGAAGACUGGGAACUGCAAACAGGCUGGGGUCACCUCAGUGACAUCUGACGCUGUCCAACCAGAAGUCUGACUUGUGUGCGUGUGCUGCAGGAAUUGAAAAAUGUACUAAAAGACUAAAAUAUUUCGUCUCUAUACUUUCUCGUUUG